CUUUUUUCCUUUCACUUCUUAUAGAGAUAAUGUGUGUUAUGGAACUACAACAAGCUUUCAAGCAGACUGACGUGACUUCGGCUUGUGUGACGAAAACAGCGCUAGCGGCAGCGGUGACGGUGAUUUUGAAUCAUGGAGGGACGACACUGAUACUUACUCCUGUUGUCCAGGAUGGCUACAAAGUGGACGUCACUGUUCAAUACGUGACCCGUGUCCAAGAAGAAGAAAAAAUUGCACCGGUA